rnacentral:rRNA from 1 species
GACGCUGGCGGCGUGCCUAAUACAUGCAAGUCGAACGCUUCUUUUUCCACCGGAGCUUGCUCCACCGGAAAAAGAAGAGUGGCGAACGGGUGAGUAACACGUGGGUAACCUGCCCAUCAGAAGGGGAUAACACUUGGAAACAGGUGCUAAUGCCGUAUAACAAUCGAAACCGCAUGGUUUUGAUUUGAAAGGCGCUUUCGGGUGUCGCUGAUGGAUGGACCCGCGGUGCAUUAGCUAGUUGGUGAGGUAACGGCUCACCAAGGCCACGAUGCAUAGCCGACCUGAGAGGGUGAUCGGCCACAUUGGGACUGAGACACGGCCCAAACUCCUACGGGAGGCAGCAGUAGGGAAUCUUCGGCAAUGGACGAAAGUCUGACCGAGCAACGCCGCGUGAGUGAAGAAGGUUUUCGGAUCGUAAAACUCUGUUGUUAGAGAAGAACAAGGAUGAGAGUAACUGUUCAUCCCUUGACGGUAUCUAACCAGAAAGCCACGGCUAACUACGUGCCCAGCAGCCCGCGGUAAAUACGUAGGUGGGCAAGCGUUUGUUCCGGGAUUUUAUUUGGGCGUAAAAGCGAGCGCAGGGCGGGNUUUCUUUAAAGUUCUGAUGUGAAA